CCUUCCCAGCAAAGUGUCAGACCCUAGCCGCCAACCCUUCUCGUCUAGAGCUCGCGCCCCCUCAGCCUCCUCUCCUCCGACUCCCUCCUCUCCUCUCCGACGCUGCCGCCUUCCCUCUCCCGCUCGUCGCCUCUAUCGUCCCCUCGAUGCCCUCGCCUCCAUCCUCUCUUGUAGGGGCAGGGGCGUGUGAAUGAUAAGCAUCCCCGGCGGCAGCGGCUAGAGCCAAGAGUUCGCGGAGGCGGCAGAAGGACGAAUAGCGGCGGUCCGACCUUCGCUGCCCAUCCCGGGCUCAACUUCAUUGCGUACCGGUCGGCUGGAGGCUGCCCUCUUUGUUCGUUGUUCUGGUUCCAGUCUAAUCUGCGGGUCUGGACCUACAGGUACUGAGGCAGAUCUAUCAGACAUGGAGAAGAUCAAUGGUUUUAAGGCUGGUGAUUGGGUUAGAGUCAAAGCAAAAGUCCCCUUCCCCAAAUAGCCCUGAUACAGCCGAUCAAGUUUGGAUAGUUGCGAUUCAGGUUUGUGUGGAAAGUAAGUCGGUUUGAUUUACCCACCAUGACUCAUUUAUUCUAUGCAAUGUGACAUUUUCUUGGGCCUUCUGUUUGUAGCGUGGCACCUACAAAGAAAAGAUUAAGAGAGUAAUUUCUUAAUGAUUUUGUUUGUGCAGCAUAACAUAGUUACAUGGUUAUGUUGAAAAUAGCCAUGUUUUGCAGAAGAUAAACACAAGGAUCUACUUUACUUUUUUUUUCUUUGUCAUGUGCGUUCCCGCUGCAGACUUUUGAAGGGAAAUUCACCAUGGGACUUCAAAUAUUAUUGGUUCCGUGCUCAUCAGUUUACUUUCUUGCAUUUAUUCUUCAUGCUAUAUGCCACACUUUUCCUAUUUUGUUAAAGAAGUGAACUAAUUCCUAAACUUCCACCGUAUAUACAUUAACACUGGAAUACUAUACCGACCCAGCAAUACUCUGAUCCUUCGUUGUUUUUCGAAAAAAAUAUGAAUUUAUCUAUGUAGGUGUAGUACUAUAUCCCAUUGAAGCUUCUUUGUAAGACAUUAAUCUAUUUGGGUGCAUGCCUUGAAGGAGUAGUAUAUUGAGCACCCUAAGAUAAUCAUCGAGCUGUUUGGUGAAAUUUUAAAUGAUCCAUUAAGCGACCUUUUAUGAUUGACCAUUGUAUGAGAGCAUGUUUUAGUACUAUUUGGGCGAGUUAGAAUUCUGCAUGAUCACAUAUCAUGACUAUCUCCAUGAAAAAUGCUUUAGACUGUACAAUAAUGAAAAUAAGCAUUUUUGGCCUUUGAAACAUAUACUGUUGUUGGGACAUCUAAUUGGACCUUCCUAUGUAGAAAAUGAGAAGUGCUAAGUGUACAUAAACCUGCACUUCAUAUUGCUUACAUGCGUGAUUUAUCAUCUAUGAUCCUCUUUUAUCUUGCUUACUUACAUGAUUUAUUUGAUUGCUAGUAGAAAUAAUUAUAUUAGCAUGUAAGUUUGCUAACUUACUACCUUCCAUCUUAUUCAUCGAUAAUGCUUUGAAGACACCAACAAGAAUAACAGUUGUGCAUGAACAUGUCAAUUACAAUGACAAGUUCCCACCUUUCAACGAAGGAUCUCAUUUUAAAUCCUAAUUUUGCAUGCCUAGGUGGUUGGCUGAUGGAGAGUGUUGCACUACUGCUUAUUAAAUGAUAGUAGUGCAGCUCACGAUUUGAUUUAAUUAGCAUUUUGGUAGUGAAAAUAUGAAGACCCCUCUCAUGUGAGUUACUUGUUUUCAGAGAGAGAACGAUCAUUGGUAUUUAUAUGGAUUCGGUGCAUAUAAACAAUUAGCUCACAUUUAAGUUUGGUUUUUGAAUUAGCUUUCCAGUUAUGUACAUGUUUUCCUCGAUGAUGAUGUAUUUCUUCUUCUAAGAUGAAUUAGUAACUUUAGCACCAAAUAUGAAGCUAUUUGGACAAAGAAAAAUUUGAUUCCUCUUUGCUAUUUUCUCUCUUUAGUAUUGCUUUGAUGUUUUUUGUCACUAUUCGAUGUUCUGCCUUUAGUGGCCUCUGUCUUGGUUUACAGCUCCAUAUGGUUACCUACGUAUACAUAUGUAGGUUUUGUUUGAAUUGUACUCAAAUCGUGCAUAUGUUUCCAUAUUCUUGCUGUUAUACUAUGCUCCAAAUCAAGUAUAAAGAGAAAGACUAACUUCUGGCGAGCGAGUAGAGCAAGGCCCAUAGCCAGUAGGCUUGGGCAACCUCCCCUGAUAUAGUGAAGUUUGCCUGGCUAGCGCCCAUGGUUUUUCCCCUUUGUCUUGGAGGGGUUUUCGAUGUUAAAUCUUGUGUCUCUUGCUUGUUUUUCGUUCUUUCUCGAGUUGAUUUGCCUGUCGUAUCUCUAACAAGUGGCAUCAGAGCCUUGUUUCUGUCUAGGGUUUCAACAACAUGGCAUCGAUGAAAUUUGAUCUUCUGCUGCUGGACUACGACACGAGUUUUCCCUUGUGGCAAGUGAAGAUGCGGGAUAUCCUGGCACAUACCGAUUUGGACGAGGUGCUAGAUGGCUUCGGUGGAAAAGAACCAAAGGCGUGGACCAAGGAUGAAAAGCGUAGAGAUCGUAAGGCUUUUUUUGACACUUGAAACAGUAGGAGAGGCUCCUACUGUAUGUAUUAAAUUAAGUGACAAAAAGUCUUAUAGAGCUAUAACCUUACAUCCAUAGCCAUGUUGUAACUAAGGGGGAGGG